AUUGAACGCUGGCGGCAGGCCUAACACAUGCAAGUCGAACGAGUGGCGGACGGGUGAGUAAUGUCUGGGAUCAUGCCUGAUGGAGGGGGAUAACUACUGUAAACGGUAGCUAAUACCGCAUACCAUCGGAUGUGCCCAGAUGGGUUUAGCUUGUUGGUGGGGUAACGGCUCACCAAGGCGACGAUACCUAGCUGGUCUGAGAGGAUGACCAGCCACACUGGAACUGAGACACGGUCCAGACUCCUACGGGAGGCAGCAGUGGGGAAUAUUGCACAAUGGGCGAAAGCCUGAUGCAGCCAUGCCGCGUGUAUGAAGAAGGCCUUCGGGUUGUAAAGUACUGUCGGCAGGGAGGCGUUACCCGAAGAAGAAGCAACGGCUAACUACGUGCCAGCAGCCGCGGUAAUAC
rnacentral:rRNA from 1 species